rnacentral:rRNA from 1 species
AGAGUUUGAUCAUGGCUCAGGAUGAACGCUAGCUACAGGCUUAACACAUGCAAGUCGAGGGGAAACGACAUCGAAAGCUUGCUUUUGAUGGGCGUCGACCGGCGCACGGGUGAGUAACGCGUAUCCAACCUGCCCACCACUUGGGGAUAACCUUGCGAAAGUAAGACUAAUACCCAAUGAUAUCUCUAGAAGACAUCUGAAAGAGAUUAAAGAUUUAUCGGUGAUGGAUGGGGAUGCGUCUGAUUAGCUUGUUGGCGGGGUAACGCCCACCAAGGCAACGAUCAGUAGGGGUUCUGAGAGGAAGGUCCCCCANAUUGGAACUGAGACACGGUCCAAACUCCUACGAGAGGCAGCA